rnacentral:pre_miRNA from 1 species
GUCCGUACAUCUGCAUGCCACAUUUUUAUCUGUAUUGUGGAAUGUAUACUGUAUCGACGA